CUUGUGCUMAUACCGUAUGUGUCCWUCGRGARAAAGAUUUAUCGGUCAAGGAUGASCCCGCGUUGGAUUAGCUAGUUGGUGGGGUAAAGGCCUACCAAGGCGACGAUCCAUAGCUGGUCUGAGAGGAUGAUCASCCACAUUGGGACUGAGACACGGCCCAAACUCCUACGGGAGGCAGCAGUGGGGAAUAUUGGACAAUGGGCGCAAGCCUGAUCCAKCCAUGCCGCGUGAGUGAUGAAGGCCCUAGGGUUGUMMAKCUCUUUCACCGGAGAAGAUAAUGACGGUAUCCGGAGAAGAASCCCCGGCUAACUUCSUGCCARCAGCCGCGGUAAUACGAAGGGGGCUAUCGUUGUUCGGAAUUACUGGGCGUAAAGCGCACGUAGGCGGAUCGAUCAGUCAGGGGUGAAAUCCCAGGGCUCAMCCCUGGAACUGCCUUUKAUACUGUCGAUCUGGAWUAUGGAAKAGGUGAGUGGAAUUCCSAKUGUAGAGGUGAMAUUCGUAGAUAUUCGGAGGAACACCAGUGGCGAAGGCGGYUCACUGGUCCAUUACUGACGCUKAAGUGCGUAAUUGUGCGGAUCAAACARGAUUARAACCCURGGUAG
rnacentral:rRNA from 1 species